GGGGUUAUAGGUUCCAGCACUUCACCCUUUGUGACAUACCCAACUGUUGCUUCGGCGGGUCGGGGCGCCCUCCCGGGGGCGCCCCCCAGGCCCGGCCCCUCCCGGGGCCGAGCGCCCGCCGGAGGAUCACCCAACUCUAUUUUAACGACGUUUCUUCUGAGUGGCACAAGCAAAUAAUUAAAACUUUUAACAACGGAUCUCUUGGUUCUGGCAUCGAUGAAGAACGCAGCGAAAUGCGAUAAGUAAUGUGAAUUGCAGAAUUCAGUGAAUCAUCGAAUCUUUGAACGCACAUUGCGCCCGCCAGCAUUCUGGCGGGCAUGCCUGUUCGAGCGUCAUUUCAACCCUCAAGCCCGGCUUGGUGUUGGGGCACUACGGUCGACGUAGGCCCUUAAAGGUAGUGGCGGACCCUCCCGGAGCCUCCUUUGCGUAGUAACUAACGUCUCGCAUCGGGAUCCGGAGGGACUCCUGCCGUAAAACCCCCACACUUUUUCUGGUUGACCUCGGAUCAGGUAGGAAUACCCGCUGAACUUAAGCAUAUCAAUAAGAGCGAGAGGAAA
rnacentral:rRNA from 1 species